GAUGAACGCUGGCGGCGUGCUUAACACAUGCAAGUCGAACGAAGCAUUUAGGACAGAUUACUUCGGUUUGAAGUUCUUUAUGACUGAGUGGCGGACGGGUGAGUAACGCGUGGGUAACCUGCCUUGUACUGGGGGAUAGCAGCUGGAAACGGCUGGUAAUACCGCAUAAGCGCACAAUGUUGCAUGACAUGGUGUGAAAAACUCCGGUGGUAUAAGAUGGACCCGCGUCUGAUUAGCUAGUUGGUGAGAUAACAGCCCACCAAGGCGACGAUCAGUAGCCGACCUGAGAGGGUGACCGGCCACAUUGGGACUGAGACACGGCCCAGACUCCUACGGGAGGCAGCAGUGGGGAAUAUUGCACAAUGGAGGAAACUCUGAUGCAGCGACGCCGCGUGAGUGAAGAAGUAAUUCGUUAUGUAAAGCUCUAUCAGCAGGGAAGAUAGUGACGGUACCUGACUAAGAAGCUCCGGCUAAAUACG
rnacentral:rRNA from 1 species